rfam:Asian citrus Psyllid, Diaphorina citri - Florida Strain, whole genome shotgun sequence.
GCCUCGGUGGUGUAGUGGUCAAGACGCUCGCUUGGUAAUCGGGAGGGCGAGGGUUUAAUCCCGCCCGAGGCA